GAUGAACGCUGGCGGCGUGCCUAAUACAUGCGAGUAGAACGCUGAAGGAGGAGCUUGCUCUUCUGGAUGAGUUGCGAACGGGUGAGUAACGCGUAGGUAACCUGCCUGGUAGCGGGGGAUAACUAUUGGAAACGAUAGCUAAUACCGCAUGACAACAGUUAUUGCAUGAUAACUGUUUAAAAGGGGCAACUGCUCCACUACCAGAUGGACCUGCGUUGUAUUAGCUAGUUGGUGAGGUAACGGCUCACCAAGGCGACGAUACAUAGCCGACCUGAGAGGGUGAUCGGCCACACUGGGACUGAGACACGGCCCAGACUCCUACGGGAGGCAGCAGUAGGGAAUCUUCGGCAAUGGACGGAAGUCUGACCGAGCAACGCCGCGUGAGUGAAGAAGGUUUUCGGAUCGUAAAGCUCUGUUGUAAGAGAAGAACGAGUGUGAGAGUGGAAAGUUCACACUGUGACGGUAUCUUACCAGAAAGGGACGGCUAACUACGUG
rnacentral:rRNA from 1 species